AUGAGAGUGUGCCAGGCACUGCCAAGGGUCCAGAGAGACAGGAGAACAGAGCUUCUAGUGGCACCAAGUUCCAGCUCUGUGAUUUUCUCCAGUAACCCCGAGAGAGGGCUGAUAGUUGAAUAAUUUACAGCUGGGUCUUAGCAGGAAAUGAAAACUCAAGAUGACAGGAUCCAAGCUAUGAAACCAGGAACAGGGCACAUCCACAGCAUCCAGAGAGAGGCUGGCAGUCUUCAGAGCUCACUCCCUGAGCUGGAUUCCUUCACUCAACACAUGAAAAGACUGGAGCCCACAGAGACAAACUAAGUGGGCCACAUCCUGAAUGCUACGUGGUUCCCAGAAUGCCACAAUUACGUGGAAAUCCAAAGGCCAUCCACCCAUUGAUGAGUAUUUACCAAAGGAUCAAGCCUGCCCCACUGACCACGUAUCUUACCGCAUGAGGCCUGCCCAGGUCCCCCAGUGCAGUCUGAGACAAAGGGUCACUACUGCCUGACUCAGGGGGUUCGGAUGCAGGCUGGCUGGCACCCACACUAAGCUCUGCCUCUAUCACUAUUAAAGGUAUCAUGUGAGCCUCAAAAAUGAAGAGAAAAAGAAAGAAGUAAAAUAACAGUGAUCAGCUUUUCUUUCCUUCCUCAACAAAUGUCUGACCUCCAGAGCUCUUGGACCACCACAACAAACAAGCUCAUCUUCAUUAACUUCUCUUUUAGCAAAAAAAGUAAA